GGUCGGGUGCUGCUCUGCGAGGUUCCUGAGGCCAACUCCUGUGAUGCCCGUUGCCCUGCUGCAAGUACAGGCCGGGGCCUGCCAGAGGCUUAUGUCACCUGUGCGCGUGGUGACAUCGAGGGCGGGACCCACGUGAGCAACCUCAGCAACCUGCAGGCAGGUCUUCAAGAUCCUGGGCGCUGAGAAGGGGAAGCAGAAGACCAACUUGUUCUUUUUGACCGGGCACCUUGUGCUGCCCUGGGUGGAGUGGAGUCAGGGAUUGAAAAGGCUCUGACCACCUACGCAAGUACUGUACCUCCCAUCCCGGUCCCUGUUGGUGGCCCUGUCUGUUCUCCAGGGCCUGGACUUCCUUAGCUCUGCCCCUUGCUAACAUUUGGUUACCAUAAAACGAAAUUUUAAUUUUUAGGUAACUUACAAAAAAAUUAAAACUAUUUAAACGAAAGGAGUUAUUUUGUGCAGUCUCACAAAAUUAAAUAUGUGCGACAGUUUUACAGAUUUAUUGCAACACUCAAUUCCAGUAUUUCAAUAUACUUAAGGCUCUGAAUCAUUUUUCUGUUGCUACUUAGCUAAGUGACUUGAACUGCUUGCUAUAUGGUCUUCAAAAGAAAAUUACUGUGUAGCCAGCAGUCUCAGAUUUUGGGUUGACCUAGCCAGGACUUGGAGUGAGAACGGGUGUCUCAUUUUCAGUUCUAAUUUGUCUACAGAUAUACUUACACAGCUCAAGGAGGGACAGAGAGCCAAAGCUCAGUGACUAACGCAAGUCUAUCAAGUUGACUUUGUAGUCAAGUCCACGAUGGUCAAAGGCCUCACUGCCAGUGCACACACGUUGGCUGCCAGAACUGUGAACAGGUGAUGGACUAGAGAAACCAGCAAGCAAAAAAUUUGUAGUGAGGAACGAGAUUUCCAACAAACAGCUUGGGCUUCAAAAUGAGUCUUCUGACAAUUUUUUUUUCUCUCAUUCUCAAGCUGUUAUGACUAAAUUUUCAUCCCAGAGAAAGAAAGCAUUCCAGAUCUUUCUUGAAGAUCUGUAUUAGAGCUCUUAUGAAAUAUCACUCCCUCCUGUUUUUUUUUUUCUCCUCUUGGCACUCCUUGAAUAGCUAUUGCUGGAGGAAAGAUGAAAAUUAUUUAAAAAUUUAUGUAUUAUUUCUCAUUAGAGUCAGAAUAUCCCUGUAGCUGCUGACACUUGAGCUGAAUUAGGAGCAACAGAUGAGGAAUUUGUAACCAAGCAAACCUC